GGGGGCGACGUAGGCUUCGACGGGGGUUGCAAAACCUAAAGUGCAUGCCGAGGUGCAGAGUACCUCGCUAAACCAUCUGCAAACUUAUAGUUGCCAACGACGACAACUACGCACUCGCUGCUUAAUACCCAGUAGGGUGCCGUCUGACUGGAGCCGUGCUUGUGCGUCCAGCUUUUCAGGCGUCAUAUCUCACAAGAUCGCGUUGAAGCUCGUCCGGGGUGGAAACGUUAAAACCUAUCCGGAAUCGCCUAUUACACGCCCUGUCCGUCGGGUGGUAAUCGGUUAAA
rnacentral:tmRNA from 1 species